GUGACGGUACAACAUCCAAUCCCAGGAGGAGGAUGAGCUAAGCGUGCCUCUCCGCUCCGUGAGCAGGAGCAUCUGAAACAGCGGAUCCAGACAGCCAGGUCGUCACUUUACGGUUGGAAAACUUUGCUGCACGCCGCGGUCCACUGACACUUUAUUGGGGACGUCAGACUACAAGUAUCUCUGUCUAACGAGCAACGACAGUUAGCAGCAGGUUAGCUUCUCGCCGUCGUUCGCUAAAACAUUGAGGAAGAAGUUCUGGUGUGAGGUUCGUCCUCCACCUUCAUCUUCAACAUGAGAACAUCUCUGGAUCUUUGUUUCUGUCUGCUGACUCUGUGUGGAAUAACACCUGUACUGUACGGUGUCAAAGUGGUCGUGGAAGAAGACAGUGAUGCUGUUUUACCCUGUUCACCCAGCACCAAGGAGGACAUCACAGGAAAACUGUUUGACUGGAAGAAAGAUGGUCAGAAGGAGGUGUUCUUCUAUGAUGCAGGCAUUCAUUACAAUAACGGCCGCACAGGUCAAGAUAAGCAGUUCAAAGGUCGAGUCUCACAUUUUCAAGAUCAACUGAUGAAUGGCAACGCCUCCAUAAAGAUCCAGAAUACAAAGAUGGCCGACAGCGGGAUCUACAGAUGCAUUUUUCCACGUCUUCAGCCGAGUCAAACCUUCAACAUUGAGCUUGUUGUUGUCUUUUGGACCUUCUGGUGCCGUUACAGUAUCAUGAAUCUCUCUCUGGGUCUCGGUCCAGUCAGAUUCAGGCAGCUCGCCUCUCUCCGCCCCUCACAGAGGACAGGUCUUGACCCCGCCCCCGCACGGAGGACAGGUCUUGACCCCGCCCCCUCGCAGAAGACAGGUC
rnacentral:lncRNA from 1 species